GAAAUAUAGCACCGAAGCUGCGGCAUCAGUAGCAAUACUGUUGGGUAGGGGAGCGUUGUGUAAGCGGAUGAAGGUGUGUUGAGAAGCAUGCUGGACGUAUCACAAGUGCGAAUGCUGACAUAAGUAACGAUAAAACGGGUGAAAAACCCGUUCGCCGGAAGACCAAGGGUUCCUGUCCAACGUUAAUCGGGGCAGGGUGAGUCGGCCCCUAAGGCGAGGCUGAAGAGCGUAGUCGAUGGGAAACAGGUUAAUAUUCCUGUACUUGGUAAAGCUGCGAUGUGGGGACGGAGUAGGUUAGGUUAUCGCACUGUUGGAUAUGCGUUUAAGUUGGUAGGUGGGAAGUUUAGGCAAAUCCGGACUUCCUUAACACUGAGAGAUGAUGACGAGGCUCUACGGAGCUGAAGUAACUGAUACCACACUUCCAGGAAAAGCCACUAAGCGAAAGGCUUUACUAAACCGUACUGAAAACCGACACAGGUGGUCAGGUAGAGAAUACUCAGGCGCUUGAGAGAACUCGGGUGAAGGAACUAGGCAAAAUAGCACCGUAACUUCGGGAGAAGGUGCGCCGGCGUAGAUUGUAAGGGCUAGCCCCUGAAGGUUGAACCGGUCGAAGAUACCAGCUGGCUGCAACUGUUUAUUAAAAACACAGCACUCUGCAAACACGAAAGUGGACGUAUAGGGUGUGAUGCCUGCCCGGUGCUGGAAGGUUAAUUGAUGGUGUAAUCGAAAGAGAAGCUCCUGAUCGAAGCCCCAGUAAACGGCGGCCGUAACUAUAACGGUCCUAAGGUAGCGAAAUUCCUUGUCGGGUAAGUUCCGACCUGCACGAAUGGCAUAAUGAUGGCCAGGCUGUCUCCACCCGAGACUCAGUGAAAUUGAAAUCGCCGUGAAGAUGCGGUGUACCCGCGGCUAGACGGAAAGACCCCGUGAACCUUUACUAUAGCUUGACACUGAACAUUGAAUUUUGAUGUGUAGGAUAGGUGGGAGACUUAGAAGUAGUCACGCCAGUGAUUAUGGAGUCGUCCUUGAAAUACCACCCUUUAACGUUUGAUGUUCUAACGAAGAUUGCGGAACGCGGUCUCGGACAGUGUCUGGUGGGUAGUUUGACUGGGGCGGUCUCCUCCCAAAGAGUAACGGAGGAGCACGAAGGUUUGCUAAUCACGGUCGGACAUCGUGAGGUUAGUGCAAUGGUAUAAGCAAGCUUAACUGCGAGACAGACAAGUCGAGCAGGUACGAAAGUAGGUCAUAGUGAUCCGGUGGUUCUGAAUGGAAGGGCCAUCGCUCAACGGAUAAAAGGUACUCCGGGGAUAACAGGCUGAUACCGCCCAAGAGUUCAUAUCGACGGCGGUGUUUGGCACCUCGAUGUCGGCUCAUCACAUCCUGGGGCUGAAGUAGGUCCCAAGGGUAUGGCUGUUCGCCAUUUAAAGUGGUACGCGAGCUGGGUUUAGAACGUCGUGAGACAGUUCGGUCCCUAUCUGCCGUGGGCGUUGGAGAAUUGGUUGGGGCUGCUCCUAGUACGAGAGGACCGGAGUGGACGCACCACUGGUGUUCCGGUUGUGUCGCCAGACGCAUUGCCGGGUAGCUAAGUGCGGAAGAGAUAAGUGCUGAAAGCAUCUAAGCACGAAACUUGCCAAGAGAUGAGUUCUCCCAGAUUUAAAAUCUGUAAGGGUUGUUUAAGACUAAGACGUAGAUAGGUGCGGUGUGUAAGUGAUGUGAGUCAUUGAGCUAACGCAUACUAAUUGCCCGAGAGGCUUAACUAUACAACGCUCAAG
rnacentral:rRNA from 1 species